rnacentral:rRNA from 1 species
GAUGAACGCUAGCUACAGGCUUAACACAUGCAAGUCGAGGGGAAACGACAUCGAAAGCUUGCUUUUGAUGGGCGUCGACCGGCGCACGGGUGAGUAACGCGUAUCCAACCUGCCCAUCACUUGGGAAUAACCUUGCGAAAGUAAGACUAAUACCCAAUGACAUCCCACGAAGACAUCUGAAUGGGAUUAAAGAUUUAUCGGUGAUGGAUGGGGAUGCGUCUGAUUAGCUUGUUGGCGGGGUAACGGCCCACCAAGGCAACGAUCAGUAGGGGUUCUGAGAGGAAGGUCCCCCACAUGGGAACUGAGACACGGUCCAAACUCCUACGGGAGGCAGCAGUGAGGAAUAUUGGGCAAGGGGCGAGAGCCUGAACCAGCCAAGUAGCGUGCAGGAGGACGGCCCUAUGGGUUGUAAACUGCUUUUAUAAGGGAAUAAAGUGGGUCUCGUGAGACUUUUUGCAUGUACCUUAUGAAUAAGGACCGGCUAAUUCCGUG